GCUAAAUCCUGUUUAUUUUUCGUGCUUUCUGCAAAAAUUUUCCUCGUAUGAGUACUCCUUCGUUCCCCUUUACCGUCUCCCCGCGCGAUCGCUCAGAAAAAGCGAGUCUACUGUCUAACGUGUCGCUAUGUUCCGCCGGAACGCGCUAUUGUAUACGGUGUGUGUUGUGUACGCCAGAUAAUUUUACCACUGCGAUAAUUGUAUUUUUCAUCGAAAUCUCCCGAGUGUGGCUUUUCAGAUCGACCUCGAUACCGAUGCAGCAACAUACAGCCAAGGAUGACAACAGUGACAAGUGUUGCUGCUCGUCGCCUCGUUCAGAAGUGAUAUCAACUUCGAAGUCUACUGAAAACUUGAUAGCAGAAGUGAAGGAGAGCACCACGCAACAUGAGAACAAUGUUAACGAGUCACAGAACACGACUGCAACUACCUCGGAAGAACCACCCACAGAAAAUGUAGACUUCAAAGUGAUCUACAACAAGCAGAAAAUUAGUGUGAAUUUUCCCUUAGAUGGUACUGUUGCCGACCUAAAGACACACUUGCAGAAAAUUAUCUCAGUACCACAGGCAAUGCAAAAGGUCAUGUUCAAAGGAUUAGCCAAAGAUGAUCAGACUCUUAGGAAUUUGGGAGUAACAAAAGGUGCCAAAGUCAUGAUAGUUGGAUCAAAGUUAGAUGAUGUAUUAGCUGUGUCAAUUCCAACUAAACAAGAGCUCAAUGAUGAAGCUGUUUCUUCAGCGAGUAAGGAACCCCUUUCACAACAAAAGAUACAUAGGAAAGUUUUAGACAAAGGUAUUCCGGAGGAUGUAAUGCCAGGAAUAUUAGAUAGCAAGGAACCUUUACCCGAAUUUCCACUGGCGGGGAUGUUAAAUAAAUCCGGAGGGAAGGUGAGAUUAACGUUUAAAUUGGAGCAAGAUCAACUGUGGAUCGGCACGAAGGAAAGAACAGACAAAAUACCCAUGAAUUCUAUAAAAGGUGUCCACAGCGAACCGAUUCACGAUCAUCCCGAAUAUCAUAUUAUGGCAAUACAAUUAGGCACUACAGAAGCAUCGAGAUACUGGAUAUAUUGGGUCCCUGCGCAAUACAUAUCCGCUAUUAAAGACGCUAUUCUUGGCAAGUGGUGUUACUUCUGAUUGAUAGUCGAUGGAAAUUUCUAUUUCUGUAAAAGCAAAGUUUAAUCAGAUGUAAACUUAAACACAAACACGACUGUACUAGUCACACAUAUUUCUCUAACACUACAGUACUUUGUAUCACCGUCAGAUAGAGUUAUGACCAAUGUCUACAUUGAAGAAAAAAAAAAAACAGAAAAAGAAGACAAAAAGAAAAAAUGUCGACAAGCUUAGAUUUCAAUGUGAUUGCGUCGACUUGACGGAGGAGUAACAACGAAUUUCACGCUAAAUAAAAUUAGAAAAUCCACUCAGUCGCGAUUGGCCUACAGUGACGCGAAUUAAGGACUCUCGAGAGAACUAAGUUAAAUCGAUUUUCAUCGCUAUUUCACGAUUUGUAAGAACUCUAUGCUGUAAGAAAAAGACUUGCGUAUGUGCUCUUUAGUACUGUAACUGUAAAUUAGGUUUUAUACCGUCUAAUACGAACCGUCUAACAGCGUGAAUAAGAUAAUAACAAAUCAAAAUUUACUACAAAAUGAUAUUACCCUGCAGUUAACGACUGUCCGUGUGAGUCGAAAAAAAAAGAUCUACUUCGGAGGUCGGUUCGAAUGGGACUUGUACAUUAUGUUGUGUGAUUUGAUAAAAUAAAUACUUCUGAGACUUU